rnacentral:rRNA from 1 species
AAUGCUUAGGAAUCUGCCUAUUAGUGGGGGACAACAUUCCGAAAGGAAUGCUAAUACCGCAUACGCCCUACGGGGGAAAGCAGGGGAUCUUCGGACCUUGCGCUAAUAGAUGAGCCUAAGUCAGAUUAGCUAGUUGGUGGGGUAAAGGCCUACCAAGGCGACGAUCUGUAGCGGGUCUGAGAGGAUGAUCCGCCACACUGGGACUGAGACACGGCCCAGACUCCUACGGGAGGCAGCAGUGGGGAAUAUUGGACAAUGGGCGAAAGCCUGAUCCAGCCAUGCCGCGUGUGUGAAGAAGGCCUUUUGGUUGUAAAGCACUUUAAGCGAGGAGGAGGCUACCGAGAUUAAUACUCUUGGAUAGUGGACGUUACUCGCAGAAUAAGCACCGGCUAACUCUGUGCCAGCAGCCGCGGUAAUACAGAGGGUGCGAGCGUUAAUCGGAUUUACUGGGCGUAAAGCGUGCGUAGGCGGCUUUUUAAGUCGGAUGUGAAAUCCCUGAGCUUAACUUAGGAAUUGCAUUCGAUACUGGGAAGCUAGAGUGUGGGAGAGGAUGGUAGAAUUCCAGGUGUAGCGGUGAAAUGCGUAGAGAUCUGGAGG